AAAAAGUUUCUGCUCCCUCAUGACCUCUGCAUCCUUUAUUUUUAUAACUCUAUUUCUUUUGCUUUUAUUUUUUUCCUUUUAUGAGACAGGGUUUUUCUGUGUAACUUUGGUUGCCCUUGAUCUCACCCUAUACAGCUGGCUGGCCUUGUAGUCAUGGACAUAUGUUUGCCUCUGCCUCUCAAAAGAAUGCUAGGAAUAAAGGCAUGCUCUACCACCACCCGGCUACUCUUUCUUUCUUUCAAUUACUUCAUCCUGUUUCUUUUCCCUCAUAAGUCUAUGUAUAUUUUUAAACAGAUUGUAAGCCUUUAGACAUUUUACUUUUUCCCUCAGAAUCUGUCUUUAUUGUAUAUAUUUAUAUUUUUCUCACCACAAGUCUUUUAUCUCCUAAACAGCAUUGCUAAAACUAAAGCCAUGGCUGUUUUAGCUGCUGUCAUUCCAAGAUGGAGGUGUUGUAUUUACCACCAGCACUGAGAGCUGUGCUCUGCCUUGGUCUAUGCUGCCAUCAAGGAGAAUGCUUAUGGCUUGAAGAAAUGAUUGCCAUUGCCAGCUUCUCAUACACACCAUUCAAUUGUUAGCAGGGCCUCUUAAAAGAGCCCUGUAGUUUUUACCACUUAUGCUGAGUCAAGAAACCUCCCUUAUGGGAGCUGCUCAAGUCUCUGCUUGUCUCACCUGAGAAAAUGCUGCUACCAAGAAAUCGUGCUUCUCUCUGUUCUUUUGCUGCUAAAAAUCCCAUUUGAAGCUUUUGUGAAGUUUUUAUAUGGAAGUUCGUAAAACCACAUGGGAGCUAUUUGUAACAAUAACUAUUUCUGUCAGCUGCCUGAGUUCUGGCACCAUGUUAGGGCCCCUACAUAACAUGCAAAGUCUUAUAUUAGUUGGAAUGUUGUUGGUCAAUGACUAGGAUUUCUGAUUUGAUAGUUCUGUCUUAAUUAUCAACCAUAACCAUUAAUCUGUAUUUUUUAUAAAGACUUAUCUUAACGAGGAAGCCACAGAACACAUCCUCUCUUUCCCAGGAUCACAUGGCAACCCUCUUUACUACACUUCCCAGAAUGCUCCUUCUCUUCUAGUUGUACCUAACUUGCUUCCCUAUUCACCAACAGUGCUUUAUUUAUCAAUCAAUAAGACAAACAUUUAAACAGAUGUCCUCCCUAUCAGGUAAAAUGCUUCUGGGAUGCUUUCAAGCCUCAUUAGAACUUCACAGAGAACAUCUAUAAAAAAUCAAGAUAGGUGAACACAAUUUAGCCUAUUUUUGGAGUGGGCAACUCUGCUUCCAGAUUAAUAUCUUUGUCCCUGUCUUCUGUGAAAAAGGUAUGCAGGGAAGAGGAUGAUUUGCACAGCCUGGGCUUUCAAGAUGCAAGGUAUGCUUGACAGAGAGGCAGCUGCUGCUACUACAGCCACAAGGCCAACAAGUAGACUCUCUGAUGACUCUAUUAAUACCAGUCACCUCACCUAUAAGUUUAAUGGAUUUCUCUAUUCAGACAUCAAAUUACACCAAGAAUCACAUACUCUUCAUAUUUCCUUGCCUAAUUCUCAAUAUGUGGUGAUUUAAUAAUAAUUGGAUAAACAAAUGUUUUAUGUGGUCAUUCUGUCCCUAUGAACUCUCCUUGCCUAACCCAGCUUAGGGUAUUUUCUCUGUUGUGAAUCUAUUUUCUGUGAAUUCAAGCAUUUCCAUUUGGGGUAGGGCAGUACCUGGACUAGGGUCCCUGCCUUCACUUACACUAUUAAAGAAGCUUAUUCAUUUCCAAGUUUGAAAAUAUUUUUCAAAAGUGAUUCAUAUAUGUGCAUUAAUUGGGAGUGGUUUCUAUUCAUUGGAGCUGCUGGCAGUCAGAGCAGGGAACUUAUAGUUGUGUAUCUGUCAAAAGUCAUUCCCAUUACUGGGUUGAUAUUUUUGGUUAUGUGUGUGCUUCAAUUCCAUCUUUAACACCAAUAGGCUAACUGGUCCACCAAGCAGAAAUUUAGAGCAAUUUCCUUUGAAUCUUAUGGAUGCCCUGUCCUGGAGGGGCAUGUUUUCCUGUUUGUCUAGGAAAAGAUAAAUAGCAGAAAAGCAUGUCAAGGUACAAUUUAUAUUUUAGUAUUUAAAUAUUUAUACGUUUUGAGAUUAUAAUAUGAUUACAUAAUUUUAUGUCUAUUUUGUCUUCCUAUAAAUCCUCUUAUUCAUUCCUCCUUACUCCGCUCAAAUUUGAUCACCAUUUAAAACAGUAAGUGGAUGUUACACAUAUUAAAGUAUAUUUCUGUUCAUAUUUAGAGAAGUACACACUGCUAUGUCUGUGUAAUUUUAAUUUUAUGUUUUCAAGGCUGACCAUUAACCACUUUUGUGUGUGGUUCCCUUGUUAAAUAAGUUUUUUCAAAUUUCCUGGAUUAGUUAUAUUUUCCCCAGUUUUCUUUGCUUUACCUCAUAUGACAGAAAAUUUUUAGUCUUUUGAGCAUUCCUACAGACAUUUACUUGUCUAAACUCCACAUGAAACUCGAGUUGGCAUCCAUGUACCUCAAAUUUUCAGAAGUAUAUUAUUCAGAUAUUUAUUUGCUACCAAGCCUCUUGUUAUUCUACUUCUACUUCCUGGACCCUCUGGAAAAUUUUAUUUCUUUAGCAUCAUGUGUCAUAAUAGGAGCCCGUGGAAACACACAGAGGAAGCCCAUUCAACAGAGGGUUCAUAGAGGAAAUUUAUCUUCUUUGUAAUAAAAUAUUUUGCUGCACAUCUUAGAAAGUAUUAUGUUUAUUAAUACUUCAUAGUUCAAUUUUAAAAUAUAGAUAGUGAAAUGAAUGCUCCUAUCUUAUUCUUAUUUUCAGGACAAUGUUAUCAAUACAGGAUUUCUUGUGGUUCUGUAAAUACUUUAAAAGAAUUUCUAACAUUACAAGUAAAGAAUGACAUAUAUGGAGAGUUGUAUUGAUUUAUAUUUUCUCUAUUUAUCCCUAAAAAUUUCUGUAUUAUCUCAUGAUCCGUAUGUUGCGUCUCACAAGCCUGCUCAUGAUAAUCUCAGACUCAGGCAUGGAAAAUAUAUGGUUCUCCCAAAUGCUGAGAAGUUCUCACUGAAGAUAGAGUCACCACACCUACCUGUUGGUAUUCAUUAUUGUUUUCUUCUUGUGACCGCAGAGGGUACCAUGAACAGCUGGCUUGCUGCAUUGUUUCUGGAUUGAAGAUGUGUCCCAUGACUGCAGGACAUUAUAAAGCACAGGAGUUCACUACAUGACAACCAGGAAGCAGAGGAGAGUUACCAGAAUGGAUCAGAUCCAAGAUGUACCCUCCACAGUGUCUGUCUCUGCUGCUCAGUGACUCUGCAACUCAAAUAAUAAAGCCAUGGUUGCUCUCUGCAUCCUGAGAAGCACACACUGGAGGAGACCACUUCCCUAAGCAGGCUGUCCUCAACAGAGAGAUGGGAAGGUCAAUUGAAAAACAUGCGUCCUCAGAGGGAUCCUUUCUGGGCAGAUUAACAGUGACUUCCAGGGUUUGGAGUCCUGCUUCAGUUGCAAAAAGGAUGGUUCCCCCCAGCUUUCAGAAUCAGGCAGAAACAUGAGACUGCUGUUGUACCUGUGAAGAAUUACUACACCAGGGUCAGUUCUCACCGGUCACCAUGAGACAUUCUGAGAGCUUGGAGCUAUAACAUUUGCUGUCAGUCUCAUUUAACAAUAUCACCCUAAUCUGAUCAGGAGGGAAAUUUUCUCCAUGUGGAUAUCUAGAUGGACCAUACUGAGGACAUUGUGAAUGACAGGGGAAUAGAUACCUGAAGGGU